AGGUCCCACCAUCGGGAGCAUGCUAACGACAACCAGCCUCCGCGAAGUAAUACCUAACGGCGGUCCCGCGGGUAAAAGAAGCGUGUGGGCGGGUAGUUUUUAGUACGUAUGCGUCAUGGAUGGCAAAUCGUGCAUGCUGCUAUUAAGAACCAGCAGUAUCUUUUGAAGAUUUUCUACCUCCAGCUCGC
rfam:Glossina palpalis gambiensis isolate 146720 unplaced genomic scaffold Scaffold48, whole genome shotgun sequence.